CACGUAGGGUGCGAGCGUUGUCCGGAAUUAUUGGGCGUAAAGAGCUCGUAGGCGGCCUGUUGCGUCCGCUGUGAAAGCCCGGGGCUCAACUCCGGAUCUGCGGUGGGUACGGGCAGACUAGAGUGAUGUAGGGGAGACUGGAAUUCCUGGUGUAGCGGUGAAAUGCGCAGAUAUCAGGAGGAACACCGAUGGCGAAGGCAGGUCUCUGGGCAUUAACUGACGCUGAGGAGCGAAAGCAUGGGGAGCGAACAGG
rnacentral:rRNA from 1 species